rnacentral:rRNA from 1 species
AUGUUCGCGCACGGCUCUCUCGCGAGGUUUAGCCGGCUUGCUCGAACCCGAAGGCCCCCGCUGGUCGCUGCCUCCCCGCUCCGCUAUCUCCAGGGAUCAGUUGGUCCAAAUAAUUUGCCCUCUGUCAUGGAACGGUCGCAGGGAGCUUCAAAUAAUGCGGCGAAACACAGGAAAACUAAUCCACCCGUGCAGACAUGGAGGCCAGUCUCAACACAAGCAUCUCCCCGGGAAGCUCACCUUGAUGAGAUAUCCAAUUCCGGAAGGAAGCAAAUGGCAGGGACUUCCAUCACUGAUAGUGAGAAUUUGGUGUUGGAUGAAACAACUAAUGUUGGCAUUGAAGUAACCACCAAUAAUACUUUCUCGUCAGAAAGUAGUUCCACCUUUAGUUCCAGUGCAACUAAAGUAGCUGCAGAAAACACUAUGGAGGUUAUCAGAGAAAAAUAUUCCUCUUCUGUUGAGGUAGAUGUUCCUCUAAUGCGUUUUCUGAAAGGAAAGGGUGGGUCUGUGCAGAAGCAGAUUGAACAGGAGACUGGAGUUAAAAUCAUUUUUCCAUCUGGAAAGGAGGAAACACUAGUUGCCCUCGAAGGUAAAAGUGCUGAAAGUAUUGGAAAAGCAUCAGAGAGAAUUGCAAAGAUCCUUGAAGAGGCUGUUCAAAGUCCAAUGCUAGAUUACUCGCAUUUCAUAUCACUUCCAUUGGCCAUCCACCCCGAUCUUGUCGAGAAGCUCAAUAACUUCCAGAGGUCGAUCCUUGGGGUGUCUGCAUCUAAUAUAGAUAGUGAUAAGGAUGAAAUCCUAAGCGAAGGUUCUGUGGAUGAAAUUGAUGAAGCAGCGAGCCCUAGUGUUCCGGUCAAGCAGCCAAUCCAAGAAGAAAAGCCUGUCAUAGUGAAAAUGGAUAAUAAGGGCUCCCAACCAGAGUUCGGCAUUGACAAGUCAAUAUUCAUAAAACCCAAAACGUUCCACCUAACAGUUCUUAUGUUGAAGUUGUGGAAUAAGGAUCGUAUAGCCCAGGCUUCUGAUAUCCUCCAGUCAGUAUCUUCCCAGGUAAAUGUUGCUUUGGAAAACCGACCUAUCUCCAUACAACUUAGGGGUCUGUUUCAGACAUGCAUGAAAGGCUCACCAGCUAGGGCCAGGGUUGUAUAUGCUCCAGUACUGGAAGUUGGUGGAGAAGGACGCCUUGUCCGUGCUUGCAAGGUAAUAACUGAAGCCUUCGUCAAGUCAGGCCUAGUUCUUGAAAGGGAUGCCAGACAAGAAUUGAGGUUGCAUGCAACCAUAAUGAAUGUGCGCCACAGGAAGAGCAAGAAAUCGAACCGAAGAAACGAUUCGUUCGAUGCUCGGAAUAUAUUCAGGCAAUACGGGGAACAGGAUUGGGGCGAGUACCCAGUACCGGCGGUGCACCUAUCGCAGAGGUUCAAGUUUGACAAGGGUGGAUACUACCAUUGCUGCUGCUCGAUCCCCUUGCCCGAGGUGGCUCAGACGGAGUGA